UUUGCUUAUUUUUUUUCCUGUGAAUUCUUUAACUACUGAAGACAAAAUUGUGAGUUUCUUUGAGCAGCUGUGGAUACUGGCAAAAGGACAGAUGUGGCAGAUCCUGCAUAUCUCCAGAACACAGUCUCAGUUUCAAAUCAAUGAAGAAAUCUGAGUUUCAGGCUAUUUAUGUUACUGAAGAAUGAAGAUUAUGUAACAAGGACAAUACGGACAAAAAACCAAACCAGACACAAAC